rnacentral:rRNA from 1 species
UACGGAGGAUCCAAGCGUUAUCCGGAUUUAUUGGGUUUAAAGGGUGCGUAGGCGGUUUAUUAAGUCAGUGGUGAAAGCCCGGAGCUCAACUUCGGAACUGCCAUUGAUACUGAUAGACUUGAGUACAGAUGAAGUGGGCGGAAUGUGACAAGUAGCGGUGAAAUGCUUAGAUAAUGACACAGAACACCGAUUGCGAAGGCAGCUCACUAAACUGUAACUGACGCUGAGGCACGAAAGCGUGGGGAGCAAACAGG